rnacentral:lncRNA from 1 species
AAAAAUAUUUCUCUCAGAUUCCCCCAUCUCCAGCUACAGCUCCUGGUUUUCUUUGCUGUCAUUUUCUCACCCUCUCUCCACUUUCUCAGCACAUUUUCCUUCUCCCCAAACAUCCCCUGUUUCUCCUCCCUCGAGUUCUUCCACUACCUCCACUUUUCUCCCCAACCCAAAUCCUAUUUCUCUCUCUUUUCUCCUUUUUGCUUUCCAAUUUCGAAAAUUUCUCCCCCCAGCUCCCAUCUUAUCUUCAUCCCCAAAUCUUCCAUUUCCCCCCUUUUGUUUUUCAAUCUCUCCAUGCGGGUAAUAUCAGGAGUUUUCAGUAGUUAGUCAGUCAGUUGAUUGAGCUGUAAUCUGGGUUCUCUCUGGUUUUCAGUAAUUUGAGCUUUGGUUUCAGUAAUUUGGACGGAGUUCCAUGGGGGCUCGAUUUAGGGUUUCGGUGUAGUGAUUUCGGGGGGUUUUCUUCUGAAUUGGGGAAAGGGAUUUUCGCCUUUUUCGGGUUUAAUUUACCAAUUAUGCCACUGGAGGAUGAAGAUCGAGGU